AACGCACAUUGCGCCCUCUGGUAUUCCGGAGGGCACACCUGUUCGAGCGCCGUUUAAUACUUGAGGCUCAGCCUUGUGUUGACCCUUCCCUGUUUUGGGAUCGGUUAAAAAACAUGCAGAUCCUAAACACUAGAAGCAUACGCAAUAGUAUUUCGACUCUUGUUUUUAGAUCUUGAUUAUCUAAACUUAUGGCCUCGGAUCAGGUGGGGAUACCCGCUGAACUUAA
rnacentral:misc_RNA from 1 species